ACACAAAAAUGCACAUGCUGUGAGCUCGAUGAGUAGGGCGGGACACGUGGUAUCCUGUCUGAAUAUGGGGGGACCAUCCUCCAAGGCUAAAUACUCCUGACUGACCGAUAGUGAACCAGUACCGUGAGGGAAAGGCGAAAAGAACCCCGGCGAGGGGAGUGAAAAAGAACCUGAAACCGUGUACGUACAAGCAGUGGGAGCACGCUUAGGCGUGUGACUGCGUACCUUUUGUAUAAUGGGUCAGCGACUUAUAUUCUGUAGCAAGGUUAACCGAAUAGGGGAGCCGAAGGGAAACCGAGUCUUAACUGGGCGUUAAGUUGCAGGGUAUAGACCCGAAACCCGGUGAUCUAGCCAUGGGCAGGUUGAAGGUUGGGUAACACUAACUGGAGGACCGAACCGACUAAUGUUGAAAAAUUAGCGGAUGACUUGUGGCUGGGGGUGAAAGGCCAAUCAAACCGGGAGAUAGCUGGUUCUCCCCGAAAGCUAUUUAGGUAGCGCCUCGUGAAUUCAUCUCCGGGGGUAGAGCACUGUUUCGGCAAGGGGGUCAUCCCGACUUACCAACCCGAUGCAAACUGCGAAUACCGGAGAAUGUUAUCACGGGAGACACACGGCGGGUGCUAACGUCCGUCGUGAAGAGGGAAACAACCCAGACCGCCAGCUAAGGUCCCAAAGUCAUGGUUAAGUGGGAAACGAUGUGGGAAGGCCCAGACAGCCAGGAUGUUGGCUUAGAAGCAGCCAUCAUUUAAAGAAAGCGUAAUAGCUCACUGGUCGAGUCGGCCUGCGCGGAAGAUGUAACGGGGCUAAACCAUGCACCGAAGCUGCGGCAGCGACGCUUAUGCGUUGUUGGGUAGGGGAGCGUUCUGUAAGCCUGUGAAGGUGUACUGUGAGGUAUGCUGGAGGUAUCAGAAGUGCGAAUGCUGACAUAAGUAACGAUAAAGCGGGUGAAAAGCCCGCUCGCCGGAAGACCAAGGGUUCCUGUCCAACGUUAAUCGGGGCAGGGUGAGUCGACCCCUAAGGCGAGGCCGAAAGGCGUAGUCGAUGGGAAACAGGUUAAUAUUCCUGUACUUGGUGUUACUGCGAAGGGGGGACGGAGAAGGCUAUGUUGGCCGGGCGACGGUUGUCCCGGUUUAAGCGUGUAGGCUGGUUUUCCAGGCAAAUCCGGAAAAUCAAGGCUGAGGCGUGAUGACGAGGCACUACGGUGCUGAAGCAACAAAUGCCCUGCUUCCAGGAAAAGCCUCUAAGCAUCAGGUAACAUCAAAUCGUACCCCAAACCGACACAGGUGGUCAGGUAGAGAAUACCAAGGCGCUUGAGAGAACUCGGGUGAAGGAACUAGGCAAAAUGGUGCCGUAACUUCGGGAGAAGGCACGCUGAUAUGUAGGUGAAGUCCCUCGCGGAUGGAGCUGAAAUCAGUCGAAGAUACCAGCUGGCUGCAACUGUUUAUUAAAAACACAGCACUGUGCAAACACGAAAGUGGACGUAUACGGUGUGACGCCUGCCCGGUGCCGGAAGGUUAAUUGAUGGGGUUAGCGCAAGCGAAGCUCUUGAUCGAAGCCCCGGUAAACGGCGGCCGUAACUAUAACGGUCCUAAGGUAGCGAAAUUCCUUGUCGGGUAAGUUCCGACCUGCACGAAUGGCGUAAUGAUGGCCAGGCUGUCUCCACCCGAGACUCAGUGAAAUUGAACUCGCUGUGAAGAUGCAGUGUACCCGCGGCAAGACGGAAAGACCCCGUGAACCUUUACUAUAGCUUGACACUGAACAUUGAGCCUUGAUGUGUAGGAUAGGUGGGAGGCUUUGAAGUGUGGACGCCAGUCUGCAUGGAGCCGACCUUGAAAUACCACCCUUUAAUGUUUGAUGUUCUAACGUGGACCCGUAAUCCGGGUUGCGGACAGUGUCUGGUGGGUAGUUUGACUGGGGCGGUCUCCUCCUAAAGAGUAACGGAGGAGCACGAAGGUUGGCUAAUCCUGGUCGGACAUCAGGAGGUUAGUGCAAUGGCAUAAGCCAGCUUGACUGCGAGCGUGACGGCGCGAGCAGGUGCGAAAGCAGGUCAUAGUGAUCCGGUGGUUCUGAAUGGAAGGGCCAUCGCUCAACGGAUAAAAGGUACUCCGGGGAUAACAGGCUGAUACCGCCCAAGAGUUCAUAUCGACGGCGGUGUUUGGCACCUCGAUGUCGGCUCAUCACAUCCUGGGGCUGAAGUAGGUCCCAAGGGUAUGGCUGUUCGCCAUUUAAAGUGGUACGCGAGCUGGGUUUAGAACGUCGUGAGACAGUUCGGUCCCUAUCUGCCGUGGGCGCUGGAGAAUUGAGGGGGGCUGCUCCUAGUACGAGAGGACCGGAGUGGACGCAUCACUGGUGUUCGGGUUGUCAUGCCAAUGGCACUGCCCGGUAGCUAAAUGCG
rnacentral:rRNA from 1 species